GAUGAACGCUGGCGGCGUGCCUAAUACAUGCAAGUCGAGCGAAUGGAUUAAGAGCUUGCUCUUAUGAAGUUAGCGGCGGACGGGUGAGUAACACGUGGGUAACCUGCCCAUAAGACUGGGAUAACUCCGGGAAACCGGGGCUAAUACCGGAUAACAUUUUGAACCGCAUGGUUCGAAAUUGAAAGGCGGCUUCGGCUGUCACUUAUGGAUGGACCCGCGUCGCAUUAGCUAGUUGGUGAGGGAACGGCCCACCAAGGCAACGAUGCGUAGCCGACCUGAGAGGGUGAUCGGCCACACUGGGACUGAGACACGGCCCAGACUCCUACGGGAGGCAGCAGUAGGGAAUCUUCCGCAAUGGACGAAAGUCUGACGGAGCAACGCCGCGUGAGUGAUGAAGGCUUUCGGGUCGUAAAACUCUGUUGUUAGGGAAGAACAAGUGCUAGUUGAAUAAGCUGGCACCUUGACGGUACCUAACCAGAAAGCCACGGCUAACUACGUGCCAGCCGCCGCUGUAA
rnacentral:rRNA from 1 species